rnacentral:rRNA from 1 species
GAUUAGUGGCGACGGGUGAGUAACACGUGGGCAAUCUGCCCUUCACUCUGGGACAAGCCCUGGAAACGGGGUCUAAUACCGGAUACGACCUGCCGAGGCAUCUCGGCGGGUGGAAAGCUCCGGCGGUGAAGGAUGAGCCCGCGGCCUAUCAGCUUGUUGGUGAGGUAACGGCUCACCAAGGCGACGACGGGUAGCCGGCCUGAGAGGGCGACCGGCCACACUGGGACUGAGACACGGCCCAGACUCCUACGGGAGGCAGCAGUGGGGAAUAUUGCACAAUGGGCGAAAGCCUGAUGCAGCGACGCCGCGUGAGGGAUGACGGCCUUCGGGUUGUAAACCUCUUUCAGCAGGGAAGAAGCGAAAGUGACGGUACCUGCAGAAGAAGCGCCGGCUAACUACGUGCCAGCAGCCGCGGUAAUACGUAGGGCGCAAGCGUUGUCCGGAAUUAUUGGGCGUAAAGAGCUCGUAGGCGGCUUGUCGCGUCGGUUGUGAAAGCCCGGGGCUUAACCCCGGGUCUGCAGUCGAUACGGGCAGGCUAGAGUUCGGUAGGGGAGAUCGGAAUUCCUGGUGUAGCGGUGAAAUGCGCAGAUAUCAGGAGGAACACCGGUGGCGAAGGCGGAUCUCUGGGCCGAUACUGACGCUGAGGAGCGAAAGCGUGGGGAGCGAACAGGAUUAGAUACCCUGGUAGUCCACGCCGUAAACGGUGGGCACUAUGUGUGGGCAACAUUCCACGUUGUCCGUGCCGCAGCUAACGCAUUAAGUGCCCCGCCUGGGGAGUACGGCCGCAAGGCUAAAACUCAAAGGAAUUGACGGG